rnacentral:lncRNA from 1 species
GGAAAUAUAAAACGCAAAAACUCUUUUUUUUUUUGGAUUUUGAGUUAUAACACACUUUUUCAAAUAUAAAAUAGGAAAUACGAUAACGAAUGAUUCGAUAUUAUUGUACAAAAUUAGAAGGUAAAAGACAACAUAGAAAGAAAAACAGACUUAAAUAAAUAAAAAAAAUAAAGAUAAAAAAAUCUCCUUAAACAAACUUCUAAAUGAGCGAUCGUGAUUGGAUGGUCCCGGGGCGUCAGUCAUGCCCAAACUCCGGUAAGUAAAUCCACACCUGUAUGAGAAAAUUAAGACCAAAUAAAGUUAAAGACCUAGAACACUAUGUGAGACAAUAACCCUUCAUGUUGGACACAUGCAAGACAUGAUUGUGACUAUUUUUCUAAAAUUAACCUAUGUGGCUAAAAGUGGCUAAAAAUGCAAGAUUUGGCUAAGACCCCGCGAAGUCAAGAACCUAAAACUUACUAGGAAGACCAGACCCUAUGUGGGUUGCCUACGUAUCCCGCCCCGAAAGACGAGAAUCAGGUAUGCGUAGUUCGGGCGAAUUGGAUACGGGCGAGAAAUAAAAAAACAACUAAUUUAGAGAAAAUAUAUCUUUUUCUUUUCCUUGAAAAUGAUGAAACAUGUAAAAUCUUUUUGGAUUUUCUUUUUCCUCUUUUUUUUUGAUUUUUUUUUUUGAAAAAAAAUGAUGGGAAAGUGCAAAAUCUUUUUGGAUUUUUUUUCAUUUUCAAUUUUUGCUCUUUUCUUGAAAAAGCGUGAAAGAAAAUUGUAACUGGGCCCUAUUUGCUUUAUUUUUUACACUUCACCCUCUCUUUUUUCAUUUAUCCUCAACCCUCAUUGGUCCGCCAAAUGACCUCUUUUAUCCUUGAAGAUUGCAACAUGUAGUACAUAGACUGCAUCAGGAUGAUUUUUUAUUUUUUUUGGGUACACCUGUCCUAGAGGGACCCAACCCCUGUGUUGAGUCCCCAAAGUCAAAUGCACAUGAUGCAAACAAAUGUUCCUUCUAGGAAUCCGGUAUGAGGCUGAGUUAUUCUAGGUUUAAAACUUGGGUGUAUUUGUUCUAGACCUAGCUUACUCGAGCGGACAGCUCGAGCCGAGGGGGCAAGCGUACCGGGAAUGCAGAAGCUUCACCGGCUUUGCAACUUGUCCGAACCUCGUUCUAAAAUUGGAAUAUGACUUUAACAGAAGAGAAGUCACACGAAGUGCACAUUUUCCAGAUGAUUUAGAAGACUCAGAGAGAGGAGGGUUUCGUAACAAUUUAUAUACAGUCCAAACAAUAUCAAAGCGGUAAAAAGCGGCAAUUAGCACAUUAGGCUCAAACAUAUAAAAAUUAGAUAAUAAAUAAAAACCAACUAUAACAGUUAUUCUAAGCUCGAAUUCUGAACCUUGAACCAGAGGUUCUGGGUUCUUAUCCCCAGCAGAGUCGCCAGAGCUAUCACACCUCCUUUUUACUACCCCGGAAAGGGAUAUAAGGGAGUUUUUUCCAAUUUAAGUGACAAUCAAAACGGAAUUAUUUAUAUUAAAAUCAGAGUUGCCACUUGGGUUAGUUUAUUAGUGUCCCAAUUCACCGGUUUAAAAUCCCGAAUCGAGGAAAGUUUGACUCUAAUUAUGGUCUGCGAACACAGAAAUCCGGGUAAGGAAUUCUGUUAAUCCGGGAGAAGAUGUUAGGCAUUUUCGAGUUCCGUAAUUUUAGCACGGUCGCUUAACUAUUAAUAUUGGCCCAAUUAUCCUAUGUAAUUACACGUUUUAAACCUAUGUGCACUUUUUAACUUUCUAACUACUUUUAAUAUUUUUAGGAAAAUUCAAGGUUAUUUAAAACACAUCGUAAGCCACGCUACAUGAAAUGCACCUGCGGUUCACGACACGUUUAAUUUAACAUUGUUGGAAAUUGGAGCCGGGUCACAUAAAAUGUAUACCCGAAUUUUAGCAAUCACAAAUCACAACUACGUCUCGAUGAUUAUUUACACGCCAAAAGCAAAGCUGCAAAUGUUUAUGAAUACUUCUGACCUAAGCAUGCUCUUAAGCCUUAAUGAGUCUAACACGAAAUAUAAUAAUGAAUCAAAGUGAUUUGAGUAAACUUUAACUCUGACUAAUGACGAUUAAAGAGAAAUAUGAAAACCCUGAAGCUCAAAUAUAUUAACUUAACAUUAACUCUAAAUUCUACAAAAUAAUCUACGAGACUUACGAGGCAAACACAAUUAAUGUCUAUUAUAUAUAUGGCUAAACUAAUAUUUUAUACCCUAACACCAAUUGACACCAAAAUAUUGAUAAUGGAACCUUUAACAUUUAUUAAAGAGUAUAACAGGGAAUUUAAAGACUUCCUAUCCAUUAAACUAACAAAAACUCAAUAUGAGCUAACAACAUACAUGAAAAUAGAAUAGUAAAUACUAACAUAUCCUCAAAUAAAAACGAUAAAAGCAUUAAUCCAAACAGUUCAUAAAAUAGAGAGUAACAAAUUGACAGAAGUACACUGUUAAGCCAAACAGAAUAUGAGAAAAUGAGGAACCAAACCUCAAAAUGGAUCAGAACAUUAAUUAUGAGGCAACAUUAAUGCUUUGUUUGCUCCGGCAUAGCGGUUGCACCGUCGUAGCUGCAGCAGCGAAAAUAGCCACCUCCGAUUGAACUUUGUUAGGAGGAAAAGAAAUCCUCUAUGACUAUUCUCCAUUCAAACACAAUAAAAACUCCCUAAACACCCAAAAAUUACAAAAAAUCUCACAAAUUCACUGAUUACCCACUGCUAAUACCACGAUAAUUCCACAACAUUCAACCAAUAUAACGAGAAACUGCUCAUGAGUAUUACAUAAGCCGAAUAAGACGCCUUUUCAAUUUUCAAACCUAUUUCUAAUUUGAAUUCAGACGAUGAACCAUUAUUUCUAGUACACAGAAAUUACUACUACUAACAACCAAAGACAGUCAAAUACAAAUAGCAGCAAAAUCGGUAACUGCUACUCAUUCAAACAUAAAAAACGACCAGCGAACAGCCAGAUUUAGGGAAAUGAAAAUCUCUCGAGAAACGAACGGGAAAAUCUGAUGGGGAUCGUCUUUUUGUUCAAAACGACGGAUUGGUUUUUUAAAGUCUAGGGAUCUAAGUUUGUUUUCUGUCACCUCUGGAUCGAAACGGUUGAUUAUGUUUUUGCCUUGUUCUUGUAUUAUGCUUGAAGAAGAAGAAGGUGUGUGUGAUUUUCAAGAUCAUAAACGACACCUUCUCUGUAGUCUUUUUUUUCGUUAGGUUCAUUUUCUUAGGUUCUUUUAUUGUGUAGCUAUAGGGUGUUGAUGGGUUAGGGUUAAAUUUGG